GUGACAAGCAACAAAACAUCAUGUCAAAAAACAAUAUUUAUCGAUUCCCUUCUCGAAAACUAUCUGUUGAUGAAGCAAGCUCAAAUAUUAUUAAAUAAAACUUACCUGCAUCCUCAGGAAAAUGGAAAGUAAUUGAUAAGAAUAAUUCAAAUAAUUCUUUAAGAAGAAAGCUAAAUUUUGAUUCAAUGUCCCAAAAAAAUAAUGGGAGCCAUAAUAGUAAUCACCAUGUCAGUCAGUCUCCAAAACAUUUUGGUUUAAAAAAUACUUUAAUAAAUUUGAAUUGUUCCAUUACAAACAUGUAGUAUGAUAUGAAAAAUGAUAUUCAUACAAAUCAAAACAAGUCUUCUUCAAAAGAAGUUAAUUAUCUAGUCAAUGAAAGUAUUUAUAAUUUCCCAAUGACAAAUAUCGAUGAGCUAAAUAUAUUUGAAGAAAAAUUAGGUGACAUUGAAUUUCGGCAGAAAGUGGUACAUUACUUGAGUAGACUAGAAGCAAUAGUGUCUCAGAUAUGACACGCCAAAUAAUGUCCAAGAUGUUUCAUAAUAAUUUGCUAUCACAAUUUUCUUAUGCAGGACAGAAACAUAAGAUGGUGUUUGCUACUUUUCA